UACGUAGGGGGCAAGCGUUGUCCGGAAUCAUUGGGCGUAAAGCGCGCGUAGGCGGCCCGGUAAGUCCGUUGUGAAAGUCAAAGGCUCAACCUUUGAACGCCGAUGGAUACUGCCAGGCUAGAGUCCGGAAGAGGCGAGUGGAAUUCCUGGUGUAGCGGUGGAAUGCGCAGAUAUCAGGAGGAACACCAAUAGCGAAGGCAGCUCGCUGGGACGGUACUGACGCUGAGGCGCGAAAGCGUGGGGAGCGAACAGG
rnacentral:rRNA from 1 species